GGUCUGCAUCAAGCACACAAAUCCCAUCUGAUGAGGUGGCUGCUUCCUAUUCAUAUGCUGCUGCUUUAUCAAGAAGUACCACUCCUGAUCCCCAACACGUUGCGAGGGCUCCUAGUCCUUGCCUUACUCCUAUUGGUGGGGGGAGGGUAGUCAAUUCAGACAAGAGAAGUGUUAAUAGUCCAACUGAGUCUUCAGAGCUUGUUGAUUGUGAGGGCUCCUAGUCCUUGCCUUACUCCUAUUGGUGGAGGGAGGGUAGUCAAUUUAGACAAGAGAAGUGUUAAUAGUCCAAAUUCAUUUAAUGGUCCCACAACUGAGUCUUCAG
rnacentral:lncRNA from 1 species